rnacentral:rRNA from 1 species
CCUGGCUCAGGAUGAACGCUAGCGACAGGCUUAACACAUGCAAGUCGAGGGGCAGCGGGGGUAGCAAUACCCGCCGGCGACCGGCGCACGGGUGAGUAACGCGUAUGCAACUUACCUAUCAGAGGGGGAUAACCCGGCGAAAGUCGGACUAAUACCGCAUGAAGCAGAGGCCCCGCAUGGGGAUAUUUGCUAAAGAUUCAUCGCUGAUAGAUAGGCAUGCGUUCCAUUAGGCAGUUGGCGGGGUAACGGCCCACCAAACCGACGAUGGAUAGGGGUUCUGAGAGGAAGGUCCCCCACAUUGGUACUGAGACACGGACCAAACUCCUACGGGAGGCAGCAGUGAGGAAUAUUGGUCAAUGGGCGUAAGCCUGAACCAGCCAAGUCGCGUGAGGGAUGAAGGUUCUAUGGAUCGUAAACCUCUUUUAUAAGGGAAUAAAGUGCGGGACGUGUCCCGUUUUGUAUGUACCUUAUGAAUAAGGAUCGGCUAACUCCGUGCCAGCAGCCGCGGUAAUACGGAGGAUCCGAGCGUUAUCCGGAUUUAUUGGGUUUAAAGGGUGCGUAGGCGGCCUUUUAAGUCAGCGGUGAAAGUCUGUGGCUCAACCAUAGAAUUGCCGUUGAAACUGGGGGGCUUGAGUAUGUUUGAGGCAGGCGGAAUGCGUGGUGUAGCGGUGAAAUGCUUAGAUAUCACGCAGAACCCCGAUUGCGAAGGCAGCCUGCCAAGCCAUGACUGACGCUGAUGCACGAAAGCGUGGGGAUCAAACAGGAUUAGAUACCCUGGUAGUCCACGCAGUAAACGAUGAUCACUAGCUGUUUGCGAUACACUGUAAGCGGCACAGCGAAAGCGUUAAGUGAUCCACCUGGGGAGUACGCCGGCAACGGUGAAACUCAAAGGAAUUGACGGGGGCCCGCACAAGCGGAGGAACAUGUGGUUUAAUUCGAUGAUACGCGAGGAACCUUACCCGGGUUUGAACGCAUUCGGACCGAGGUGGAAACACCUUUUCUAGCAAUAGCCGUUUGCGAGGUGCUGCAUGGUUGUCGUCAGCUCGUGCCGUGAGGUGUCGGCUUAAGUGCCAUAACGAGCGCAACCCUUGCCACUAGUUACUAACAGGUAAAGCUGAGGACUCUGGUGGGACUGCCAGCGUAAGCUGCGAGGAAGGCGGGGAUGACGUCAAAUCAGCACGGCCCUUACAUCCGGGGCGACACACGUGUUACAAUGGCGUGGACAAAGGGAAGCCACCUGGCGACAGGGAGCGAAUCCCCAAACCACGUCUCAGUUCGGAUCGGAGUCUGCAACCCGACUCCGUGAAGCUGGAUUCGCUAGUAAUCGCGCAUCAGCCAUGGCGCGGUGAAUACGUUCCCGGGCCUUGCACACACCGCCC